GAUAAGAUGACUGAAUUUUAGGUUAUAAAUUGUAAAUUUAUAUAUGGUAGUUACACCUCUUAUCA
rnacentral:tRNA from 1 species